GUUGUGGCUCAGCGGUAGAGCACUCGCCAGGCAUGUGUAAGGUCCUGGGUUGGAUCCUCAGCACCACA
rnacentral:tRNA from 1 species